UGACCUCGGGCCACCGUGUAAAUCGGUC
rnacentral:piRNA from 1 species